GCAAUCGACCAUAGGAUUGAGAAUACAGCGCUUCCCGUUCGCUCAGCGGUACUUAAGCUCAAUACCGGUUAGUUAGUACUAGAGUGGGUGACCAUCUGGGAAUCCUAACUGUUGAUUGUU
rfam:Capronia coronata CBS 617.96 acBCG-supercont1.4, whole genome shotgun sequence.